GAUCCUGGCUCAGGAUGAACGCUGGCGGCAUGCCUAAGACAUGCAAGUCGAACGAGAUGGCCCAGUGAAGGUUGCGUGCUUGCACAAGACUGAAUCUGGAUCACCAUCUAGUGGCAGACGGGUGAGUAACACGUGGGUGACCUACCUUUUCGUUGGGGAUAACUGUUGGAAACGAUUGCUAAUACCGAAUAAAAUAUAAAAGCCAAUUUUAUAUUGAAAGGAGCCUUUAAAGCUUCGCGAUUAG
rnacentral:rRNA from 1 species